CUUGCUUCUUUUGGAAUCGAGUGGCAAACGGGUGAGUAACACGUAAACAACCUGCCUUCAGGAUGGGGACAACAGACGGAAACGACUGCUAAUACCGAAUACGCUUGGGAGACCGCAUGAUCUUCCAAGGAAAGGGUGGCCUCUACCUGUAAGCUAUCGCCUGAAGAGGGGUUUGCGUCUGAUUAGGCAGUUGGUGAGGUAACGGCCCACCAAACCUACGAUCAGUAGCCGGUCUGAGAGGAUGAACGGCCACACUGGAACUGAGACACGGUCCAGACUCC
rnacentral:rRNA from 1 species